rnacentral:rRNA from 1 species
CCUACGGGUGGCAGCAGUGAGGAAUAUUGGUCAAUGGACGAGAGUCUGAACCAGCCAAGUAGCGUGAAGGAUGACUGCCCUAUGGGUUGUAAACUUCUUUUAUAUGGGAAUAAAAUGUUCCAAGUGUGGGAUUAUGUAUGUACCAUAUGAAUAAGGAUCGGCUAACUCCGUGCCAGCAGCCGCGGUAAUACGGAGGAUCCGAGCGUUAUCCGGAUUUAUUGGGUUUAAAGGGAGCGUAGGUGGAUUGUUAAGUCAGUUGUGAAAGUUUGCGGCUCAACCGUAAAAUUGCAGUUGAAACUGGCAGGCUGGAGUACAGGAGAGGUGGGCGGAAUUCGUGGUGUAGCGGUGAAAUGCUUAGAUAUCACGAAGAACACCGAUUGCGAAGGCAGCUCACUGGGCUUCAACUGACACUGAGGCUCGAAAGUGUGGGUAUCAAACAGGAUUAGAUACCCGGGUAGUC